rnacentral:tRNA from 1 species
GCGCUGGUAGUUUAGCGGUAGAAUAUCUGCCUUCCAAGCAGAUUGUCCGGGUUCGACUCCCGGCCGGCGCA